UGGAUGAUGUUGGUUUAAUUCGAUGCAACGCGAAAAACCUUUACCCACCUUUGACAUGUACGGAAUCCUUUAGAGAUAGAGGAGUGCUCGAAAGAGAGCCGUAACACAGGUGCUGCAUGGCUGUCGUCAGCUCGUGUCGUGAGAUGUUGGGUUAAGUCCCGCAACGAGCGCAACCCUUGUCAUUAGUUGCUACGAAAGGGCACUCUAAUGAGACUGCCGGUGACAAACCGGAGGAAGGUGGGAUGACGUCAAGUCCUCAUGGCCUUUAUGUCUAGGGCUACACACGUACUACAAUGGCCGGUACAAAGGGCAGCCACUCAGCGAUGAGGCGCUAAUCCCAUAAAGCCGGUCUCAGUCCGGAUCGCAGUCUGCAACUCGACUGCGUGAAGUUGGAAUCGCUAGUAAUCGUAGAUCAGCAUGCCACGGUGAAUACGUUCCCGGGCCUU
rnacentral:rRNA from 1 species